rnacentral:rRNA from 1 species
AUUGAACGCUGGCGGCAGGCCUAACACAUGCAAGUCGAACGUGUGGCGGACGGGUGAGUAAUGUCUGGAAAACUGCCUGAUGGAGGGGGAUAACUUCUGGAAACGGUAGCUAAUACCGCAUACCAUCGGAUGUGCCCAGAGGGGAUUAGCUAGUAGGUGGGGUAAAGGCUAACCUAUGCGACGAUCCCUAGCUGGUCUGCGAGUGUGACCCGCCACACUGGAGCUGAGACACGGGCCAGACUCCUACGGGAGGCAGCAGGAGGGAAUAUUGCACAAUGGGCGCAAGCCUGAUACAGCCAUGCCGCGUGUAUGAAGAAGGCCUUCGGGUUGUAAAGUUCUUUCGGCAGGGAGGCGUUACCCGCAGAAGAAGCACCGGCUAACUCCGUGCCAGCAGCCGCGGUAAUUC